rnacentral:rRNA from 1 species
GAGUUUGAUCCUGGCUCAGAAUCAACGCUGGCGGCGUGCCUAACACAUGCAAGUCGAACACGAAAGUCCCGCAAGGGAUCAGUAGAGUGGCAAACGGGUGAGUAACACGUGGGUGACCUGCCUUCGAGCGGGGGAUAACGUCCCGAAAGGGACGCUAAUACCGCAUGACAUCCUGCUUUUGGAAAAGCGGAGAUCAAAGCUGGGGAUCGUAAGACCUGGCGCUUGAAGAGGGGCCCGCGCCUGAUUAGCUAGUUGGUGGGGUAACGGCCUACCAAGGCGACGAUCAGUAUCCGGCCUGAGAGGGCGGACGGACACACUGGGACUGAGACACGGCCCAGACUCCUACGGGAGGCAGCAGUGGGGAAUUGUUCGCAAUGGGCGCAAGCCUGACGACGCAACGCCGCGUGGAGGACGAAGAUCUUCGGGUCGUAAACUCCUGUCGAGUGGGAAGAACGCUUCGGGGGCGAAUAUCCCCCGGAAUUGACGGUACCACUAAAGGAAGCCCCGGCUAACUCCGUGCCAGCAGCCGCGGUAAUACGGGGGGGGCAAGCGUUGUUCGGAAUUACUGGGCGUAAAGGGCUCGUAGGCGGCCAACUAAGUCGGAUGUGAAAUCCCCAGGCUUAACCUGGGAACUGCAUCCGAUACUGGAUGGCUUGAAUUCGGGAGAGGGAUGCAGAAUUCCAGGUGUAGCAGUGAAAUGCGUAGAGAUCGAGAGGAACACCAGUGGCGAAGGCGAGUUCCUGGACAAGUCCUGACGCUGAGGCACGAAAGCCAGGGGAGCAAACAGGAUUAGAUACCCUGGUAGUCCUGGCUGUAAACGGUGCACGUUUGCUGUGAGAGGAAUCGACCCCUUUCGUGGCGGAGCUAACGCGAUAAACGUGCCGCCUGGGGAGUACGGUCGCAAGAUUAAAACUCAAAGAAAUUGACGGGGGCCUGCACAAGCGGUGGAGUAUGUGGCUCAAUUCGAUGCAACGCGAAGAACCUUACCUGGCCUUGACAUGCAUGUGGUAGAAGCCCGAAAGGGUAACGACCCCGCAAGGGGAGCAUGCACAGGUGCUGCAUGGCUGUCGUCAGCUCGUGUCGUGAGAUGUUGGGUUAAGUCCCGCAACGAGCGCAACCCUUGCGUCCUGUUGCCACCCCUACGAGAGUAGGGAGCACUCUGGACGGACUGCCUCGCUUCAACGGGGAGGAAGGUGGGGAUGACGUCAAGUCAGUAUGGCCCUUACGGCCAGGGCUGCACACGUACUACAAUGCCCGGCACAGAGGGAUGCCAAACCGAAAGGUGGAGCAAAUCCCCCAAAAACCGGGCCCAGUUCAGAUUGAGGUCUGCAACUCGACCUCAUGAAGUUGGAAUCGCUAGUAAUGGCGCAUCAGCUACGGCGCCGUGAAUACGUUCCCAGGCCUUGCACACAC